rnacentral:rRNA from 1 species
GACGAACGCUGGCGGCGUGCUUAACACAUGCAAGUCGUUUAGGGCACCCAGCAAUGGGUGACCGGCGAACGGGUGCGUAACACGUGAGCGACCUGCCCUUCCGCGGGGGAUAGCCGGGCCAACGCCCGGGUAAUACCGCAUACGUUGCUUUUGGGGCAUCCCUGAAGCAAGAAACUUCCGGGGCGGAGGGAGGGGCUCGCGGCCUAUCAGCUAGUUGGGGGGUAACGGCCUCCCAAGGCGACGACGGGUAGCUGGUCUGAGAGGAUGGCCAGCCACAUUGGGACUGAGAGACGGCCCAGACUCCUACGGGAGGCAGCAGUGGGGAAUAUUGCGCAAUGGCCGCAAGGCUGACGCAGCGACGCCGCGUGUGGGAGGACGCCUUUCGGGU